GCUUGAUGGUAGUCCUGAUGUCUGGGAACCAAACGAAAUCGAAGCGAUCUCAUCUCUUUUCCAGCAAAGAAUCCCUCAGAAACCAGAGAGAGUGGUUCGAGUCAGGCCUCUACCACUUCCUCAGCCUCACAAGCUACGACCUUUAGGCCUCCCAACUCCAAAGCCCAACAACAUCAAGAAACCACUCGUGUCAUCAUCAUCAAAAGACCCGAGCUUUCUCAUCAGUUUAGCUAGAGAGAUCAAACACUUACCUUCCCCUGAAGCAGACGUCUCUCUCGUCCUCAACAAAUGGUCCACCUUCCUCCGCAAAGGCUCCCUCUCCACCACCAUCCGCGAGCUCGGCCACAUGGGUUUGCCCGAGAGAGCCUUGCAGACCUACCGCUGGGCGGAGAAGCAUCCUCAUCUCUUUCCUGAUAACCGCAUCCUCGCGUCCACCAUCCAGGUCCUAGCCAAGCACCGCGAGCUGAAGCUCCUCAAGUUCGACAACACCUUGGCUAGCAAGAGCGUUAUCGAAGCCAUGAUCAAAGGCUGCAUCGAAGGCGGUUGGCUGAACCUAGCGAGGAAGCUUUUACUGAUAGCUAAAAGUAACAACCGUGUCCUCGACUCGAGUAUCUACGUUAAGAUGAUUCUAGAGAUCGCUAAAAACCCUGACAAGUACCAUCUCGUUGUUUCCCUCCUCGACGAGUUGAAAGAUAGAGAAGACUUGAAGCUGAGCCAGCAAGACUGCACGAGCGUGAUGAAGAUCUGCGUGAAACUUAAAAGGUUCGAGCUCGUUGAGUGUCUCUUUGAAUGGUACAAAGAAUCAAACAGAGAGCCGAGCGUUGUGAUGUACACUACCAUGAUACACAGCAGGUUUUCGGAAGAGAAGUAUAGAGAGGCGAUGAGUAUGGUUUGGGAGAUGGAGGAAUCGAACUGUCUUCUUGAUCUUCCUGCUUAUAGAGUGGUCAUUAGAUUAUUUGUGGCGUUGGAUGAUUUGGGAAGAGCAAUGAGAUACUACUCUAAGCUCAAGGAAGCUGGUUUUACUCCAACGUAUGAUGUUUUUCGCGAUAUGAUCAGCGUUUGUAUAGCUUCUGGGAGAUUGACAAAGUGUAGAGAGAUAUGUAAGGAGGUUGAAGAUGCUGGAUUGAGGUUGGAUGCAGAGACUUCGUUUAGGUUGUUUCAGCUCGAAAACCAAACAAUGUCUCUAUAAAGUAUUAAGACUUGUAAUAGAGUUUUGUGUUCUCUUUGAUUAGAGAUAUAACAUUUUUGUGAAUACAAGAAAUUCUAUGAUAAAACAUUUUGUGGUUUUACUGUUUGAUAGUGUUUUCAGGAAAAGACGAAAGUGGAAACUGGACAAGUUCAGAAUCAGACAUAGCUACUCUCUUGUCUGCUGGAACUGAUUCUGGUCCAUCCAUGGAUGGUUUAAUAACUGUAAAGAACAAAAUAUUAUAGAACAGAGUAAAAGCUAAGAGAAGAAAAGCUGUAGUUGUGAGGAACGAUCCGGACAUCUCAGGUGGUUCUUCAAACAUGAACGGAUCCAUAGAUGAAGAACCUCCACUACUUGUUCUGACAACGUCCGAUGAUGUCUUGACGAAGGUUCUUGGUUUUUCAUCGGCUUGAGAUUCGAUUUGUUGGUCAAGCUGUUUCAGAGCUUCUCUAGCUUUAUCUCUAUCGAUUUCGAAUCUUUGUGAAGAAGAAGAAGAAGAAGGUGAGUCGUCUCUUUCAGUGGCUCUUACAAUACCCAUCAGAUGUUUUUUCUUCUUCUCCAUGAAUCCGCCAUGUACGUACCAAUUAAGAGACUGUAUCCCUAACACCACCAUUCUCUGUUUCUUUUCUUCUACGGCUCUCUGUGAUGAUGAUAAAUGUUGUGUGUGUGUGGACAUCGUUGUUGGCAAAAUUGUCAGAUACCACAGGCUUCUUAGUGGAUUUUUAUUGUCGUUUCAAAAUAAGAAUUUACAGGCCCAUUCGAAAGUAUUUUAAGGCUUCAAAUAAAAAGGUAUGAUAUUUAAUUAUUUAUACACUCCAUUUGAUCAAAUCCUAAGGUCAUACAAAAUAUUACAAAGUUGGUUGAAAUAAGCAACAAUAUAAAUCACAAUAACUUGAACCCUUGUUUUUGAUGCUCUUAGUUAAAAGCCUUAUUUGAUCACACAAUUUAGCAAUUCUAUAGAAUUUUAUAGAAUUACAAUAACUUGAAACAGCAGAAGAAACCAAUGAUGUGCACAUCAGGUGGUCUCACAUAUUCCGCACAACAAUCGAAAUGGAUAAAUCUCUUACAAAUCAAAAAUCUCAAAUUAAAAGUAUGUUUGAAUCACUCUCUCGCUCUCUCUCUCUCUCUCUUUCUUUUUAGAGGAAUGAUCUUUAAAAGUGGCCAAAAGUUUUGGAUUAUUUGGACAAGGUGAAUUGGUGAAGAACAUUGCCGGAAAUAUCAUAGUAGAUGAACUUAGCUUGAUAGUGAGUAAUGUGAAGAGACAUGAAACCUUGUCCGUCGUAAUAAAGUUUUAGUUCUUUUGGAUCCCACGGCAGAAUAACUCCUCUCCAUGCCUUUGAUCCUCCUCCACUUGUCAGAAAUUGAAUCCCACUUCACCAAUUCCAAACAAUGAAUUAUUUAGGUUUUGUCUGAAGUAGUAAACAUUUAAACUUAACUAAGACUUUGACUAAUCUAGAUUCAAAUAAAAUUUGUUUAAAACAAACUGACUUCGUGUUUUAUUUUUCAUUCAAGAAUGUAAACCAAUACGAUCCCUAUUGAUGAAAAGAAGAAGUAAAUAGAACUUUACCCGUCNNNNNNNNNNNNNNNNNNNNNNNNNNNNNNNNNNNNNNNNNNNNNNNNNNNNNNNNNNNNNNNNNNNNNUUUUUUGAAUAAAUUUAACAUUUAUUCAAAAAAAAAAAAAAAAAGUUCAUCUUCUUCCUCGUGUUCUCUCUCUAUCUCAAAACCCUAGCUGUUCCCUAUUCAAUUAAGCUAGGUUACUCUCAAUUCGAGUUUGAUUCACUGUGAAUUAGAAAACCAACGAUGAUGCAUUGUCCUGUCUCUUCGUCACUUAUCUUCCAACCGAGCAGUAUCCGAGCAACAUCGAAAGUCUACGCAAAGAAGAAACUCACUAAGAAUCUCCGUAACCCACGCCGCACCAAACUCCCUCCUGAGUUCGGUGUCAACUUGUUCCUAAGGAAACCCAUCACAGAACCGUUGUUACCACUACAAGAACAAGAAGAAGAAGAUCAAGAGCUUGAUGGUAGUCCUGAUGUCUGGGAACCAAACGAAAUCGAAGCGAUCUCAUCUCUUUUCCAGCAAAGAAUCCCUCAGAAACCAGAGAGAGUGGUUCGAGUCAGGCCUCUACCACUUCCUCAGCCUCACAAGCUACGACCUUUAGGCCUCCCAACUCCAAAGCCCAACAACAUCAAGAAACCACUCGUGUCAUCAUCAUCAAAAGACCCGAGCUUUCUC
rnacentral:lncRNA from 1 species